UACAGAGGGGGCGAGCGUUGUUCGGAAUUACUGGGCGUAAAGGGCGCGUAGGCGGGAUGGCAAGUCGGUCGUGAAAUCCUUCGGCUCAACCGAAGAACGUCGAUCGAUACUGCUGUUCUUGAGGGUUGCAGAGGAGACUGGAAUUCCCGGUGUAGCGGUGAAAUGUGUAGAGAUCGGGAGGAACACCGGUGGCGAAGGCGGGUCUCUGGGCAAUUCCUGACGCUGAGGCGCGAAAGCGUGGGGAGCAAACGGG
rnacentral:rRNA from 1 species